AUACGUCCUACGGGAGAAAGCAGGGGACCUUCGGGCCUUGCGCUAUCAGAUGAGCCUAGGUCGGAUUAGCUAGUUGGUGGGGUAAUGGCUCACCAAGGCGACGAUCCGUAACUGGUCUGAGAGGAUGAUCAGUCACACUGGAACUGAGACACGGUCCAGACUCCUACGGGAGGCAGCAGUGGGGAAUAUUGGACAAUGGGCGAAAGCCUGAUCCAGCCAUGCCGCGUGUGUGAAGAAGGUCUUCGGAUUGUAAAGCACUUUAAGUUGGGAGGAAGGGCAGUAAAUUAAUACUUUGCUGUUUUGACGUUACCGACAGAAUAAGCACCGGCUAACUCUGUGCCAGCAGCCGCGGUAAUACAGAGGGUGCAAGCGUUAAUCGGAAUUACUGGGCGUAAAGCGCGCGUAGGUGGUUCGUUAAGUUUGGAUGUGAAAUCCCCGGGCUCAACCUGGGAACUGCAUUCAAAACUGACGAGCUAUAAGUAUUGGUAAAGGGUGGUGGA
rnacentral:rRNA from 1 species